rnacentral:misc_RNA from 1 species
AUUUUUAUGACUAAAACAUGUCAAUCACCUUUCAAAACAACAUUAGAAUCUACUUGACAUUACUAUUAAGUUUUCUUUUGUUGUUUAAAAACCAUUAAAUAUAAAACUGCUGUCAACCAAAAAAAUACAAAAGGUUUUUUCCUCUUUGGUAAAGAUGGCCACGAGUCGUUUCAGUCUUACACCUGGACAGGAACUAGCCUAGUCAAACCCAAGCCCAAAACCUGUCAAUCGUUCAACUGAGGUGUUCAUGAUUUGGUUUAAGAUAGAUAUUUCAAACCAAAACAAUAAAGUAUAUUUGUAAAUAAUAAAAAAAAUAAUCAAAUCAAAUAAGACUAAAAGAUAUUCAAAUUCGGUUCGUUUGCAUAAACAGUUUGAUCAAUUUAUGCUAUAAAGCAAAAUUGUUUCGAAGAAAAUUCAAGACAUUCAAAUAACAUUGAUGCAAAACCAAAGAACCCUCAAAGGGCAAAAAGAAAUAGUUUCAAAUUUUAUUAACUCUCAAUUGUCAAUAAUAAUCAUA